AUUGAACGCUGGCGGCAGGCCUAACACAUGCAAGUCGAGCGGGGUUUUCGGACCUAGCGGCGGACGGGUGAGUAAUGCGUAGGAAGCUACCCGAUAGAGGGGGAUACCAGUUGGAAACGACUGUUAAUACCGCAUAAUGUCUACGGACCAAAGUGUGGGACCUUCGGGCCAUAUGCUAUCGGAUGCGCCUACGUGGGAUUAGCUAGUUGGUGAGGUAAUGGCUCACCAAGGCGACGAUCCCUAGCUGGUUUGAGAGGAUGUACAGCCACACUGGAACUGAGACACGGUCCAGACUCCUACGGGAGGCAGCAGUGGGGAAUAUUGGACAAUGGGCGCAAGCCUGAUCCAGCCAUGCCGCGUGUGGGAAGAAGGCCUUCGGGUUGUAAAGCACUUUCAGUAGGGAGGAAGCGUUGUGUGUUAAUAGUACACAGCGUUGACGUUACCUACAGAAGAAGCACCGGCUAACUCUGUGCCAGCAGCCGCCGUAAGAC
rnacentral:rRNA from 1 species